rnacentral:ncRNA from 1 species
GCAAAGUAGUACGAAAAGCGUUAAGUGCCGUAUAACGGGAUGUUGAAUACGGACGAAAAGAAGGGCGAAAUCUUUAAUCGCCGUCUUGCGGUUUUUCGGCGCAUCCG